AACACGUGGGCAACCUACCUAGUAGAUUGGGAUAACUCCGGGAAACCGGGGCUAAUACCGAAUAAUCCAUUUUGUCACAUGGCAAAAUGCUGAAAGGCGGUUUCGGCUGUCACUACUAGAUGGGCCCGCGGUGCAUUAGCUAGUUGGUGGGGUAAUGGCCUACCAAGGCAACGAUGCAUAGCCGACCUGAGAGGGUGAUCGGCCACAUUGGGACUGAGACACGGCCCAAACUCCUACGGGAGGCAGCAGUAGGGAAUCUUCCACAAUGGACGAAAGUCUGAUGGAGCAACGCCGCGUGAGUGAUGAAGGUUUUCGGAUCGUAAAACUCUGUUGUAAGGGAAGAACAAGUACGUUAGUAACUGAACGUACCUUGACGGUACCUUAUUAGAAAGCCACGGCUAACUACGUGCCAGCAGCCGCGGUAAUACGUAGGUGGCAAGCGUUGUCCGGAUUUAUUGGGCGUAAAGCGCGCGCAGGUGGUUUCUUAAGUCUGAUGUGAAAGCCCACGGCUCAACCGUGGAGGGUCAUUGGAAACUGGGAGACUUGAGUGCAGAAGAGGAAAGUGGAAUUCCAAGUGUAGCGGUGAAAUGCGUAGAGAUUUGGAGGAACACCAGUGGCGAAGGCGACUUUCUGGUCUGUAACUGACACUGAGGCGCGAAAGCGUGGGGAGCAAACAGGAUUAGAUACCCUGGUAGUCCACGCCGUAAACGAUGAGUGCUAAGUGUUAG
rnacentral:rRNA from 1 species